rnacentral:rRNA from 1 species
UGGGGAAUCUUCCGCAAUGGACGAAAGUCUGACGGAGCAACGCCGCGUGAGUGAAGACGGCCUUCGGGUUGUAAAGCUCUGUGAUCCGGGACGAAAGAGCCUGAGGCGAAUAGCCUAAGGAAGUGACGGUACCGGAAAAGCAAGCCACGGCUAACUACGUGCCAGCAGCCGCGGUAAUACGUAGGUGGCAAGCGUUGUCCGGAAUUAUUGGGCGUAAAGCGCGCGCAGGCGGCUUCCUAAGUCCAUCUUAAAAGUGCGGGGCUUAACCCCGUGAUGGGAUGGAAACUGGGAUGCUGGAGUAUCGGAGAGGAAAGUGGAAUUCCUAGUGUAGCGGUGAAAUGCGUAGAGAUUAGGAAGAACACCGGUGGCGAAGGCGACUUUCUGGACGAAUACUGACGCUGAGGCGCGAAAGCGUGGGGAGCAAACAGG